rnacentral:rRNA from 1 species
GUAAAAAGUAGAAUAAUAGAUUUGAAAUAUUUAUUAUAUAGAUUUAAAGAGAUAAUCAUGGAGUAUAAAUUAUUAAAUAAAAAAAUAUUUAAUAAUAACUAUUAAUAGGAUUAGGUUACUAAUAAAUUAAUAAUAAUUAAUUUAAAAACCUAAAGGUAAACCUUUAUAUUAAUAAUAUAUAUAUUUAUAUUAUUAAUAAUAAUAAGAACUAAGUGAACUGAAACAUCUAAGUAACUUAAGGAAUAUAAAUCAACAGAGAUAUUAUGAGUAUUGGUGAGAGAAAAUAAUAAAGGUCUAAUAAGUAUUAUGUAAGAAGUAUGUAAGAAAAUAGGAUAACAAAUUCUAAGACUAAAUACUAUUAAUAAGUAUAAUAAGUACCGUAAGGGAAAGUAUGAAAAUGAUUAUUUUAUAAGCAAUCAUGGAUAUAAUUUUAAUAUUAAUGAUGUACCUUUUGUAUAAUGGGUCAGCAAGUAAUUAAUAUUAGUAAAACAAUAAAGUUAUAAAUAAAUAGAAAAAGUAUAUAUAUAAAAAAAUAUAUUAAAAUAUUUAAUUAAUAUUAAUUGACCCGAAAGCAAACGAUCUAACUAUGAUAAGAUGGGUAAACGAUCGAACAGGUUGAUGUUGCAAUAUCAUCUGAUUAAUUGUGGUUAGUAGUGAAAGACAAAUCUGGUUUGCAGAUAGCUGGUUUUCUAUGAAAUAUAUGUAAGUAUAGCCUUUAUAAAUAAUAAUUAUUAUAUAAUAUUAAAAUAAUAUUAUAUAAAGAAUGGUACAGCAAUUAAUAUAUAUUAGGGAACUAUAAAAGUUUUAUUAAUAAUAUUAAAUCUCGAAAUGUUUAAUUAUAUAUAAUAAAGAGUCAGAUUAUGUGCGAUAAGGUAAAUAAUCAAAAGGGAAACAGCCCAGAUUAAGAUAUAAAGUUCCUAAUAAAUAAUAAGUGAAAAAAAUAUUAAAAUAUUAUAAUAUAAUCAGUUAAUGGGUUUGACAAUAACCAUUUUUUAAUGAACAUGUAACAAUGCACUGAUUUAUAAAAAAAAAUAAUAUUUAAAAUCAAAUAUAUAUAUAUAUUUUUGUUAAUAGAUAAUAUACGGAUCUUAAUAAUAAUAAGAAUUAUUUAAUUCCAAAAAUGGAAUAUCAUAUUAAAUUAAUAAAAAAUAUGAAUACUGAAUAUCUAAAUAUUAUUAUUAAUAAUAAAUAAUAAUAAUAAUAUGGUAAUAGAACAUUUAAUGAUAAUAUAUAUUAGUUAUUAAUUAAUAUAUUAAUUAAUUAAAUAGAGAAUGCUGACAUGAGUAACGAAAAAAAGGUAUAAACCUUUUCACCUAAAACAUAAGGUUUAACUAUAAAAGUACGGCCCCUAAUUAAAUAAAUAAGAAUAUAAAUAUAUUUAAGAUGGGAUAAUCUAUAUUAAUAAAAAUAAUCUUAAAAUAUAUAUAUUAUUAUUAUUAAUUUAUUAAUUAAUUAAUUAAUAAUAUAUAUAAUUAUAUUUAUAUAUUAUAUAUAUAUAUAAUAUAAACUAAUAAAGAUCAAGAAAAGUAUUAAUGUAUACCGUAAUGUAGACCGACUCAGGUAUGUAAGUAGAGAAUAUGAAGGUGUAUUAGAGAAUUAAAGGGAAGGAACUCGGCAAAGAUAGCUCAUAAGUUAGUCAAUAAAGAGUAAUAAGAACAAAGUUGUACAACUGUUUACUAAAAACACCGCACUUUGCAGAAACGAUAAGUUUAAGUAUAAGGUGUGAACUCUGCUCCAUGCUUAAUAUAUAAAUUAAAUUAUUUAACGAUAAUUUAAUUAAAUUUAGGUAAAUAGCAGCCUUAUUAUGAGGGUUAUAAUGUAGCGAAAUUCCUUGGCCUAUAAUUGAGGUCCCGCAUGAAUGACGUAAUGAUACAACAACUGUCUCCCCUUUAAACUAAGUGAAAUUGAAAUCGUAGUGAAGAUGCUAUGUACCUUCAGCAAGACGGAAAGACCCUAUGCAGCUUUACUGUAAUUAGAUAGAUCGAAUUAUUGUUUAUUAUAUUCAGCAUAUUAAGUAAUCCUAUAAUUUUAGGUAAUCGUUUAGAUAUUAAUGAGAUACUUAUUAUAAUAUAAUGAUAAUUCUAAUCUUAUAAAUAAUAAUUAAUUAAUUAAUUAAUUAAUUAAUUAUUAAUACUUAAUAGAUAUAAUUUCUUAAGUAAUAUAUAAUAUAUUAUAUUAUUAUAUGUAUUAUAUAUAUAUAUAUAAGAGACAAUCUCUAAUUGGUAGUUUUGAUGGGGCGUCAUUAUCAGCAAAAGUAUCUGAAUAAGUCCAUAAAUAAAUAUAUAAAAUUAUUGAAUAAGAAUAAUAUAUAUUAUAUAUAUUAAUUAUAAAUUGAAAUAUAUUUAUAUUUUUAAUGAAUAUAUUUUAGUAAUAGAUAAAAAUAUGUACAGUAAAAUUGUAAGGAAAACAAUAAUAACUUUCUAUUUAUUAAUUUAUAAUAAAAUAUAGAAAGAAUUAGAUUAAUAUAAUGGUAUAACUGUGCGAUAAUUGUAACACAAACGAGUGAAACAAGUACGUAAGUAUGGCAUAAUGAACAAAUAACACUGAUUGUAAAGGUUAUUGAUAACGAAUAAAAGUUACGCUAGGGAUAACAGGGUAAUAUAACGAAAGAGUAGAUAUUGUAAGUUAUGUUUGCCACCUCGAUGUCGACUCAACAUUUCCUCUUGGUUGUAAAAGCUAAGAAGGGUUUGACUGUUCGUCAAUUAAAAUGUUACGUGAGUUGGGUUAAAUACGAUGUGAAUCAGUAUGGUUCCUAUCUGCUGAAGGAAAUAUUAUCAAUUUAAAUCUCAUUAUUAGUACGCAAGGACCAUAAUGAAUCAACCCAUGGUGUAUCUAUUGAUAAUUUAAUAAUAUAUUUAUAAUAAAAAUUUUAUAAUAAAUAUAUUAUCUAUAUUAGUUUAUAUUUUUAUAUAAUUAUCAUAGUAGAUAAGCUAAGUUGAUAAUAAAUAAAUAUUGAAUACAUAUUAAAUAUGAAGUUGUUUUAAUAAGAUAAUUAAUCUGAUAAUUUUAUACUAAAAUUUAAUAAUUAUAGGUUUUAUAUAUUCUUUAUAUAUUAAUAAUAUUUUUUAUAAUAUUAAUAAAAUACUAAUUUAUCAGUUAUCUAUAUAAUAUCUAAUCUAUUAUUCUAUAUACU